GUGAAACUUCAGAUACCUGCUAAUACGAAAAGGUGGUGAAGGACAAUCCUCAAUUUAUGCAUUAAAGCACAUAGAGUAAGUGAUUUCAGAUGAAUGGGAAUCCACACUGUAGCAGAGCAGCCUGCAGUUGCUGUUGCAGCUCCUGUCCUUGACCUGUGCCUGGCCAGCCUGGUCUCCACUGGAACCCACUCACACUGCUAGAUAUACACAGAAAUGCAGAAGCCUCCCCUCAUACAAAUAACACAAACGUAACCCGCUAACAAUCCACAUACAUGCACAGAAUCUCACAUGCAAUACCCCAAACAGCCCCCACACAUACACACACUACCAAACACACAAUGUGACAUAUCCAUCCACACAAUUCCACAAGCAGCCCUCAUACACAGCCCACAUUCAUGUGUAUCAUACACAAUACCAUAAACUACUUUUAAACAUAUACAAUAUAAUAGCUCAUAUACGCA